rnacentral:rRNA from 1 species
UACAGAGGUCCCAAGCGUUGUUCGGAUUCAUUGGGCGUAAAGGGUGCGUAGGUGGCGUCGUAAGUCGGGUGUGAAAUCUCGGGGCUUAACUCCGAAACUGCAUUCGAUACUGCGGUGCUUGAGGACUGGAGAGGAGACUGGAAUUUACGGUGUAGCAGUGAAAUGCGUAGAGAUCGUAAGGAAGACCAGUGGCGAAGGCGGGUCUCUGGACAGUUCCUGACACUGAGGCACGAAGGCCAGGGGGAGCAAACGGGG